rnacentral:lncRNA from 1 species
AAGAAUUUACUUCAUUAUAAUUUCUGACAUAGACUUUUCAAGCUAUUGCACUUAAUUUUCGCAAUAUAAUUUAGCUGAUUGAACGGUAAUAUAUUACUAGUGCAACAGCGAUGUGGCGUUGCUAUGAAUGAUGAUGUUUGCGGUGACUAAGAUGUUAUAUCAUUACAAUAUCAGCGGUACAUCAAAUAUUUAAUUAACUAAAUUGGACUGAGUCUCUGAUGCCACAAAUAAACUAAAGUUUGCGAAUUCCA